GGUAAGGCGUGUCCGGCAGCCGCGGUAGUCAAGAGGGGCCGAGCGUUGUUCGGUGUGACUGGGGGUAAAGGGUGCGUGGGUGGGGGGGUAAGGCGGGUGGUAAAGCUGGCAGUGCAACUGCGAAACGGCACUGGAAACUACCCUGCUGGAGGGUUGGAGGGGGGACUGGAAUACUGGGUGUAGCAGUGAAAUGCGUAGAUAUCCAGUGGAACACCAGUGGCGAAGGCGAGUCCCUGGACAACACCUGACACUGAGGCACGAAAGCCAGGGGAGCAAACAGGAUUAGAUACCCCAGUAGUC
rnacentral:rRNA from 1 species